CCUACGUGAGGCAGCAGUGGGGAAUAUUGCACAAUGGGGGAAACCCUGAUGCAGCGACGCCGCGUGAGUGAAGAAGUAUUUCGGUAUGUAAAGCUCUAUCAGCAGGAACGAGACAAGACGGUACCUGACUAAGAAGCCCCGGCUAACUACGUGCCAGCAGCCGCGGUAAUACGUAGGGGGCAAGCGUUAUCCGGAAUCACUGGGUGUAAAGGGAGCGUAGACGGCUGUGCAAGCCUGAAGUGAAAGGCGGGGGCCCAACCCCUGGACUGCUUUGGGAACUGUACGGUGGGAGUGCAGGAGAGGUAAGUGGAAUUCCUAGUGUAGCGGUGAAAUGCGUAGAUAUUAGGAGGAACACCAGUGGCGAAGGCGGCUUACUGGACUGUAACUGACGUUGAGGCUCGAAAGCGUGGGGAGCAAACAGGAUUAGAUACCCUGGUAGUC
rnacentral:rRNA from 1 species